CUUGGGUGGCGACCGGCGCACGGGUGGGUAACGCGUAUGCAACUUACCUAUCAGAGGGGGAUAGCCCGGCGAAAGUCGGAUUAAUACCCCAUGAAACAGGGGUCCCGCAUGGGAAUAUUUGUUAAAGAUUCAUCGCUGAUAGAUAGGCAUGCGUUCCAUUAGGCAGUUGGUGGGGUAACGGCCCACCAAACCGACGAUGGAUAGGGGUUCUGAGAGGAAGGUCCCCCACAUUGGUACUGAGACACGGACCAA
rnacentral:rRNA from 1 species